AUUGAACGCUGGCGGCAUGCUUUACACAUGCAAGUCGAACGGCAGCAUGGGUGCUUGCACCUGAUGGCGAGUGGCGAACGGGUGAGUAAUAUAUCGGAACAUGUCCGGAGGUGGGGGAUAACGUAGCGAAAGUUACGCUAAUACCGCAUAUGCCCUGAGGGGGAAAGGAGGGGAUCGUAAGACCUUUCGCUUUCGGAGUGGCCGAUAUCAGAUUAGCUAGUUGGUGAGGUAAGGGCUCACCAAGGCAACGAUCUGUAGCGGGUCUGAGAGGAUGAUCCGCCACACUGGGACUGAGACACGGCCCAGACUCCUACGGAGGCAGCAGUGGGGAAUUUUGGACAAUGGGCGCAAGCCUGAUCCAGCCAUGCCGCGUGAGUGAAGAAGGCCUUCGGGUUGUAAAGCUCUUUCAGCCGGAAAGAAAUCAUGCUUACUAAUACUAAGUGUGGAUGACGGUACCGGAAGAAGAAGCACCGGCUAACUACGUGCCAGCAGCCGCGGUAA
rnacentral:rRNA from 1 species